CUUCCCCUGGCUAUCUCAUGAGUCAGGAUACACCCUUCAAGUCACGCCCACCUUGUCCUGAAGUGGCAGCACAGCUAUUAAACUAGCCUUUGCUAUGAAAAGUAUCUUAAGCCCUACCAUCCUCUCCCCCAUCCCCCAACCAAAGCUUGUGUUUUUUUCCUCCUAUUUUUCCCAGGGCACCCCUCACCCUGUACCCUAUUACAGAAUCAGUAGGGGCCCCAGGAGAAUGAAGCUCAGGGGACAUAUUAGGUUGUGUGGUCCAGAACAUUAUCCUUCAAGUGCUAAUCUUGAGGGUUGGUUUAUUUUCUUAUGAGAAGUGGUAUUUUCUUAACAUAAUCUCAAACACUAAGUAUAAGAUUACUUUUCAAAAAUAACAAGGGGCUAGACCAGGAAGGCCAAGUAAGACCCCAAAGUUCAUUCACAUGUUCAUUCAGAAGAUCAACCUUGCCUGCUUUUCACUGGUGCCAGGUGUCUUCCUGUAGGGGUUUCAAGUUGAGGGGACCAGCCUGCCCCUGGCAGAUCUAUUCCUGGGGAAGUUCCUUUCCAACCUUUGUUUGGAUAACAUUCUGGGUUCCUGGCUCCCCCACCUCUGGUCUUACUAAGUGCCCAUUGUCCCAGGGUGCACAUUCUUGACCUGAAUUGCCAAGGGAGGGAAAUGUCCCCACAGGAGGAGAAAAGCUGCAAUCCCAAAUGCCAGGGCAAGUUGACCAAGAUGCCAAAUCGUACCACCGACUGUGAAAAAUGCAACACACAUGAUCUUCUUGCCUGCAAUGGAAAAUGAAAACAGGAAAAAGGCCCGCAUGAUAGUUGGUUCUACCGCCUGACCAGGCCACGUGGACAGGAUGGCAGGGCAUAAAGGUGCUGAGCGGAUGGCCGUUCCUGAGCUGCAGAGAUGGCCCCAAUGUUGACCAGGAGCAAGACAACACAGUCCACACAGCUGCAGAUAUUUGUGUUCUUCCACUGCAACUGACCGUGCUGGGAGGUCCUUAUGGGUCUUGAGACCCUUAUCACCUGGACUGGGGCCUGGUACACCAAAGGUAUUUAAUAUAUGUGUGUUGAGUGGAUAGAUAGAUAAUUUGUGCCCCACUUACUACCAAAAGUAAUUUGAGCAAAAUAUACUUGAGGUUUCUGUUUAUUCCCAACUUAAAAUAUUGAGAUAUAAUUGACAUACAGCAUUAUAUUACUUUCAGGUACACAAAACAAUAAUUUGAUAUUUGUAUAAACUGCUGACCCCUGAACAACAUAGGGGUGCUGAUCCCCCA